UUUGGCUGUGGGAAAGACAGACAAGAGACUAUAAGACACUUAGACUUAGUUCACUUUAUCUCACUAAUCACAAAAUGUCCCGAGAAGUUGAGAUCUGGGCAGUAAAUUCAACUUUCUUUCCUUUCUCUAAGAACAAAGAAGAACAAAACUUAGUGCUGGGUUGAGAGAGACGCUUUGGGCUGAUCAAAACUGGAAACUACCUCUUAGUCCAGGUGGAGCUCAUUCUUCCUAUCUAGGCUUCCUUUACUUCGCUGUUGUGGGCUUGCUAGAAAAUCUGGGACUGGUAAGAGCUCCCAAAGAACCCAUCUAGCUGGGAUGAUACUAGCUAAUGGCUGGGAGGUCUCUCUCAAAUUAAUCCUGCUUUUUUUAAGGGUAUCUCUAACUCAUAGACUUAAUAUCUUUUACAAUGCAAGGCUGAAGAAAGGACCUUCUCUGAUUAGCUCAAGCCUUGGUUCUAACUUUGCUGUAAUCUUUUCUUAAAGCUAACCUCCCCAUCCUUGAUAGGGUUACUGGCUAUUUCCUAUUCUGAGUCCAAAAGAACACAUCAGGAGGAAGCUCUGUAUAACCUAUUGUCCUUCUAAUGCCUUCACUAGGCUUAAUUCGUAGCUACUUUGUGCCUCUGAGCCAUCCAAAUACUUCAAGAAAUGACUCCUAAUGUCUAAAGAAUCUUACAGGACACUUGCUUUGCCUGAAGUCCAUGUUUUACAAAGCACUUCUUCAGGACCAAGGGCUGUUGAACAUUCUUUAUUCUUUCGACUCCUCUCAAACAGGUAGCUUGAACCUUAGAAACAUUUUGGUGUUCAUUUAGGUUCUGAUUCAAUUUGUGUUGCUGGAAUUAGAAAGGUAGGCUGAGGGAAUGGCUUUUACUGAGGAAUAGUUCUGUUCCUAUUGUUCAACUCUGUCUUUCAAACUCAUGACUUAGUGUCUACUUCGUCCUCAUAAAGGCACAUGGUCCUUUUGUGUUCUUCCUUGGCUCAUAGUUGUUCCAGUCCUUGAGAUUCUUUCUCAAGUGGUUUCUCUUCAAACUCUUCCUGCCCUUGGAUUUUAGACUCAAGUUGUUCAUAACAGUACUGUUAACACCAACAUUCAGGUGUUUGUGGGAUCCUAGACCCAAGAGAGUUCCCUUUUAAACUUCCUCAUGUUAAACCUACAGAUACUGUAAGAAUCUCUACUUCAAAACCCCAUUUUCUCAUAGGGUUUUCUGCUUGGACAUUUCUCUGCCUGAAGAGUCUCUACUUAACCUAAUAUUUUUAAGCAACAAGAUUCUGGAAUGUAUAUGGGCUCUAUAGGGGAUGGGAUUGUGAUGCUGAUCCUAGAAACUUUCCUCAGUCCCUCAUGCUCAGGUUACUUCUGUACUCCAGGAAUGAAUCCUGAUACCGGCAGAAGAAACCAUAAAAUGCAUCGAGAACCUACUGAGAAGUGAAACCUAAGUGCCCUUUCCAAUAGUAUUCCUUUGUCUAUCCCUCAAAGGGGAUUUAAAGUUUCUUCCCUCAAGUGUAGAAGUUAAUCCUGUCUGAAGGGAUGAGUUGUGUCCUUAAUUCAGAAACUCACAGGUACUGUUCAUCACUUACAAGACUGUCAUCCCAGAGGAGUCUGAUAGCCUCACCUGUGGCUGCCUUCCCUUGGAGAGCAUCUCUUGAUCCAAUGACUUUUGUCCUAUAGGAACUGAAGGCUGACGAUUCAGUGGUGGUUCACUAAAUUUGUGUGCCUGAAUGUCUUCAGCUGAAGACUACUCAGAUCACCUGGGAGCUUUUUGUUUACAGUUCCUAUCUGAUGACUCCUCAGCUGGGUUCAACUUGGGAUGUUUAAACCAGUCUUCUACUCAUGCUGUUUGGCUCUGUUAAAGCAAUCCAGGUCAGAGCAGGGAGAACAGUCACUCUUCAGAAAAUAACAUGCCAUGUUGACUACAUCUUCAGCUCUCAGUGCUGUUGUAACUGACAAUCCCAAGCUCCCAUCAAAGGCUUCUCCAGAGUUUGCAUGUCCUGGAUUGGUACCAAGAUUUCACUUGAGCAGAUAGGAAGCAGUCCCUUUUGGGAACAACAAAGCCCAGACUUCCUUCACAUAGACCUAUACUAAAGGCCUUUCUGCAGUGGGAUACCUGAAUUUCCUGUGGUCCUUACUAAGGACUGCAGUGCACAGAUCCUUGAGCCCAUUAUUAUCCACCUUCAAAUUGCUUGAUUCCAGGCUAUAUUCAACAAGAAUAGAAAAAUUCAUGAUGUAAGCUAUUACCUUUUCUCCUUCCUGUUUCUAUAAGUGGACUUCUGAUUGCUUGCCUUUACUCUAAGCUCUUUAUAGAGUUGUGGCACCAACAGCCAUAGUGUGGAGGUGAAAGUGUGGGUAUUGGGAGUAUAUGGUUAAUACAAACGCAGUACAUGUUUGUUCUUUGGUUUUUUUCCUGCUGGCUACUGUUACCUGUUGCUUGGUCAUAUUUGUAAUCUCUCUUGAAAAUUAAUACACAUUAAUUACUCGAUUGCCCAUAUAAGACAUAUACAUCCCUCUGACAGUCCUUUUAUAAACAGUCCCCUUCCUCACUAAUGGCUGCCUAAUGUUCAAAAGUUUCCUUAUACUUGCCCACAAAGCUCAUCUUCAGACUUAUGCAGAUUCCUUUAGGACUUUGCAUUUGGUUCCUGAAAUUGGAACUUUGCUUAACUAUAGUGUUCUGAAGCCAAAAACUCUGGCAUAUUAUGGGAAUCCUAUUCCUGCUUGCCUCUACUGUUAGAUCAAUGUAAGGAUUAUCACUUAAUCUCCAUUUCCAUGAAGACUGACAUAUGCACACACCCCCACUCAAGUGAGCAGCAUUGGAAAAAAUCCUGAAUUCUCUCAACCUCUCACUGGCCCCUACAAAAGGGAUGUUAAUUUUUUUUUAAAACUUUGAGUCAUUUUAAGAAUUCUAAGCAGGCUCCAUACUGCCCGUACAGAGCCCGAUGCAGAGCUUGAACCCACAAACCGUGAGAUCAUGACCUGAGCUGAAACCAAGAGUUGGACCCUUAACUGAGCCACUGAGGCACCCCAAAGGUUGCUUAUUGAUCUAUUUAUUGGCUUAUAGAGUUAAAGUCAAAUACUUGUCCACAUUCUAAUUGUUUCUAAUCCUGGGGUCAUCUGUAGACUAUAGGUGAAAGACUGGUUGUGUGUCUUUAUGAAGCAGGCUAGCGUUUCCUCAGCCCAUCAAAAUCUCACCUUGGAUUGAGAAGUGGACAGGUAGUGAAUCUCCCUAGAUCUUGGUCCCAUACUCCAGUUUAAUCAAACCAAAACUUUAAUUUCCAUGGUAAGAUGACAUAGUAUACUUGUUUAAAAGCCUACAUUCUGAGGUCAGACUACCUGGGCUUGAUUUAUAGCUCUACUAUUUAGGACUUGGGCAUCCUCUGAAACUGCUUAACUUUUGUCCUCAGUGCUUCCUUGCCUGUAAAAUCAGGCUAAUGCUACUACAAGGUGGUUAUGAAAACUAAGGGAGGAAAUGUAAAGAGUUUCAGAAGUCUAUAACUGUACCAGGCACUAAAAGGUUUACUUGGCUCACAGGUCUUAAUUGUCUAAGCACCUAUAGGAGAAAGGAAUGUAACUAGCAUUUGGGAACCCCAGUACUUCUAAUCCACACCAACUUUCUCCUAUUUCCUGGGAAAGCCCAAGCUCUGUCCUUCCUCCACAUCUUCACACUUCCAGUUUAAGUCUGGAAGACUUCUAUCAGCUAUCACUUGGAGGAAUCUUGCUUAAACCAUAUCUUUUAUGAGGUCCUUUCUCCUGUCAACUGUUACACUGUGAGAACAUGUUCACCUUUGUAUGAUCAAUAGUGAACUGGCUAUUCACUCACUAAGUGAAAACCAGUGCAGGAGGCUUCCCACCCACCCCCCCCAAACCCUGCCAGGCCCCACAAGACCAGAAAUGAGAGAUCUCCCAGAUAGAGUGGAAGCAGGUCAAGGAUUAUGCCAUGUUUGUGGUAGCCUGGGCACCACACAGUUCUAGCUGGGACUCCAGUCCAGGAAGGUCUGAGAUUCAACUACUCUGUCCCUUGGAGAAAGGGCUGUGCUAUGCAGUCUGGAGUUUGGUACAGUAGUGGAGGCUUAAAAUCCUAUGUUCCCAAGGUUUUUCUCCACUCAGGAAGCAACUCAGUCCUACAGUCCACUUAGCAGGAAAAUCAGACCAGCUUAUAGAACUGCACUGAACUCCUUAACUAAAAUUUAAAGUGAAUUGGACCAGGAAAAAAAUGGUUAAGGAAUUAUGCACCCAAAUUGGCUCUCAGCCUUCACAUCUGGGUUCUCCUCUAGCAACAAGAUAUCCCAAGUAUUUUUCCUUGGAAUUCAAGAGAAGUUGUCUUCGUGGGUGACUCUGUUGGUUGAGCAUCGGACUCCUGAUUUCAGCUUCGGUCAUGAUCCCAGGGUCAUGGGAUCAAGCCCAGCAUCGGGCUCCAUUCUGAGCGUGAAACCUGCUUAAGAUUCUCUCCCUCUGCCCUUCUCCCCUGCUGGAGUGCCGCUAUUUAAAAAAAAAAGUUUGAGGGUUGACCUCAGUCAUCAGACUCAAA